UGACUGCUAAAUUCCGAAACGC
rnacentral:siRNA from 1 species